AACUGCAAGUCCAGAUUUACACGAUGUUGAUAAAGACGACAUUGUGUCCGCCUGUAAGACGUAUUAUGAGACGGUACGCAGGAGCUGAAGCUGCCAAGAGUUCAGCUCGGAGUCAAGCUAGAAGAAAGAGGCUGCUGGAAUCGAGGCAGAGCGUGCUAGCUGAUGAGGAAGUGGAACUCUGGAAGUCCGCCACCGUCGACCGCAUGUCUGGCGAAGAAGAUGGCGUCGUUGGCAAGGUCUCUGGAUGGAUUGUACUGCCGCCGU